rnacentral:rRNA from 1 species
CAGUAGCCGCGGGAAUACAGAGGGUGCAAGCGUUAUCCGGAUUUAUUGGGUUUAAAGGGUCCGUAGGCGGAUCUGUAAGUCAGUGGUGAAAUCUCACAGCUUAACUGUGAAACUGCCAUUGAUACUGCAGGUCUUGAGUAAAUUUGAAGUGGCUGGAAUAAGUAGUGUAGCGGUGAAAUGCAUAGAUAUUACUUAGAACACCAAUUGCGAAGGCAGGUCACUAAGAUUUAACUGACGCUGAUGGACGAAAGCGUGGGGAGCGAACAGGAUUAGAUACCCGCGUAGUCCCUGUCUCUUAUAC